rnacentral:rRNA from 1 species
UACGUAGGGUGCGAGCGUUGUCCGGAUUUACUGGGCGUAAAGAGCGCGCAGGCGGUCGAUUUAGUCGCGUGUGAAAGCCCCCGGCUCAACUGGGGAGGGUCACGCGAUACUGAUCGACUCGAAGGCAGGAGAGGGUAGUGGAAUUCCCGGUGUAGUGGUGAAAUGCGUAGAUAUCGGGAGGAACACCAGUGGCGAAGGCGACUACCUGGCCUGUUCUUGACGCUGAGGCGCGAAAGCUAGGGGAGCAAACGGG